rnacentral:rRNA from 1 species
CAGCCGCCGCGGGAAUACGUAGGUGGCAAGCGUUGUCCAGAAUUAUUGGGCGUAAAGCGCGCGCAGGCGGAUAGGUCAGUCUGUCUUAAAAGUUCGGGGCUUAACCCCGUGAUGAGAUGGAAACUGCCAAUCUAGAGUAUCGGAGAGGAAAGUGGAAUUCCUAGUGUACCGGUGAAAUGCGUAGAUAUUAGGAAGAACACCAGUGGCGAAGGCGACUUUCUGGACGAAAACUGACGCUGAGGCGCGAAAGCCAGGGGAGCGAACGGGAUUAGAUACCCCCGUAGUCCCUGUCUCUUAUACC